CCGGCGCACGGGUGAGUAACACGUAUGGAACCUGCCCUAUGCAGGGGGGAUAAGCGGAAGAAAUUCCGUCUAAUACCGCAUAACACCAUUUGGAGACAUCUCCAGGGGGUCAAAGGAGGCGACUCCGGCAUAGGAUGGCCAUACGUCGCAUUAGCUAGUCGGCGGGGUAACGGCCCACCGAGGCGACGAUGCGUAGGGGUUCUGAGAGGAAGGUCCCCCACACUGGUACUGAGACACGGACCAGACUCCUACGGGAGGCAGCAG
rnacentral:rRNA from 1 species